AUUGAACGCUGGCGGCAUGCCUUACACAUGCAAGUCGAAACGGCAGCACGGGAGCAAUCCUGGUGGCGAGUGGCGAACGGGUGAGUAAUAUAUCGGAACGUGCCCGGUCGUGGGGAUAACGUAGCGAAAGCUACGCUAAUACCGCAUACGAUCUACGGAUGAAAGCGGGGGAUCGCAAGACCUCGCGCGAUUGGAGCGGCCGAUAUCAGAUUAGGUAGUUGGUGAGGUAAAGGCUCACCAAGCCGACGAUCUGUAGCUGGUCUGAGAGGACGACCAGCCACACUGGGACUGAGACACGGCCCAGACUCCUACGGGAGGCAGCAGUGGGGAAUUUUGGACAAUGGGCGCAAGCCUGAUCCAGCAAUGCCGCGUGCAGGAUGAAGGCCUUCGGUUGGUAAC
rnacentral:rRNA from 1 species